rnacentral:rRNA from 1 species
GUCGAACGCUCGUAGCAAUACGGGAGUGGCAGACGGGUGAGUAACGCGUGGGAACAUACCCUCCGGUUCGGAAUAGCUCAGGGAAACUUGGAUUAAUACCGGAUACGGCUGAGAGGCGAAAGAUUUAUCGCCGGAGGAUUGGCCCGCGUUCGAUUAGCUAGUUGGUGAGGUAACGGCUCACCAAGGCGAUGAUCGAUAGCUGGUCUGAGAGGAUGAUCAGCCACAUUGGGACUGAGACACGGCCCAAACUCCUACGGGAGGCAGCAGUGGGGAAUAUUGGACAAUGGGCGCAAGCCUGAUCCAGCCAUGCCGCGUGAGUGAUGAAGGCCUUAGGGUUGUAAAGCUCUUUCGCUCGGGACGAUAAUGACGGUACCGAGAUAAGAAGCCCCGGCUAACUUCGUGCCAGCAGCCGCGGUAAUACGAAGGGGGCUAGCGUUGUUCGGAAUUACUGGGCGUAAAGCGCGUGUAGGCGGGUCUUUAAGUCAGGGGUGAAAUGCCAAGGCUCAACCUUGGAACUGCCUUUGAUACUGGAGAUCUUGAGUCCGGGAGAGGUGAGUGGAAUUGCGAGUGUAGAGGUGAAAUUCGUAGAUAUUCGCAAGAACACCAGUGGCGAAGGCGGCUCACUGGCCCGGAACUGACGCUGAGACGCGA